UCCAUCGGAUGGCCAGGCUCUUCCUCGUUUGGCACUUUUCAAACCAGAGUUUCAGCAAGGAGCUUUUGAGCACCAUGGCUGCUGUAGCAAUCCCGCCUUCGAAUCAGGACACCAGGGCUCAGCACCAUGUAGCUCAGUGAGUCAUGUCCUCAGGCCCACUUACAGUAGCAUCGAAAUGGGGCAGCAGGGGAGUUCUCUUGUGGCGCAGCGAGUUAAGGAUCCACUGUCGUCACUGCAGUGGCUUGGGUGGCUGCUGUGGCGGGCACAGGUUCGUUCCCUGUCCUGGGAACUGCCAUAUGCUGUGGGCAUGGCCAAAAUAAAUAAAUUCUCCAAACUAAAAAACGAAACAAAAACCGGAAACUUUUCUGCACAUUAGUUACGGUGGAGGGAGACCCAACAUUUCUGCUAAAGAAGGAAUAACGUUCAUAUUAUAGGAUGGACCUAACUCCAGAAAUAGUUCAUGGCAAACAAGAAAAGCAUAACGUGUGCACACACGUGUUUCAGCAGAGGGGGAAUGUUCCUUGAGAUUAUAACUGAGCAAGAUCCUAUGGGACAGAUCCCCCCAUGUGCUCAGCCUGCCUCUUGUUUGUAGAAAACUCUGGCUCCUAGGCCUUCCCGGAGUUCCCAAGAAUAAAUUCAAUCAGAGAGAUGAGACAAUGCAGAAACAAAGGAAAGCAGUCAAGCAAGACAAAAUAAUAAUAAUAGUUUAGCCAUUAAACUAAAAGUCAGGGCCUUUUAUUUCCUUCUCAAGUACUAUAUAGAUAGUAUCCUGAGCCAUGUCCUUGGAGCUGUUUUGCGGAGACUGAAAUACCCCCACCAGGUGGAAGAAGUUAACUGCAUGCUGCCCACAAGCAGGUAGACCCCAGACCGGCUGGAACCAGCAAAUUGAUGAUGUUGAUGGCUGAUUACCUCACCACCAGCCAAUCUGAAGAAUGCUCACCAGCUGAUCAUGCAUCCCACAAUCCCCCUCCCUCAGCCUGUCUUUAAAAACCUUUCCCAUCGGGAGGUUAGUAGGUCUUUUGAGCACUGGCUCUCUGGACUCUUUGCUCGGCGCCGCCCUGCAAUAAAACGCUUCACUUUCCUUCAGGACAACUCAGCAUCAGCAGAUUUGGCAACCAGGCACAAUUUGGUUGGAUAACAACAGUGGCAGUGGUCUUUCCCAGCCUGAUCCUGCCCUUUCAGGUCCUUGUGCCUCUCCGAACACCGGAAGAAAGGACAGAGGCCACCGCAGAUGCAGCUUUUCUAGGACUUGCACUCCCGCGAGCCUCCCCUCACUGCUCUGGGGUCUGGGAUCCGGGCUGAGGCUUCUCCUGCAACUCCCCUCAGAGGAGCUGGCUUAGUCCUAAGGAGGCAGGACCAAAGGAUUCAGAGCCAAACACAUCUCUGCUGUGACUAUUAUUUCAGCCUCUGACCCGGCGAACUCACCUACCUCUGAGGCCUCAGACCAGGUUUUCUGUAGACUAAGGCAGCCCAUGGCAGAUAAGCUGGAGUCAAGCUGGUGAGCAGUGGUCUUGUUUAUGGACUCAGACCUUGGAAAGGCACUGACCACAUGGGAGAUGUUAUUAGCCAACUCUAUCAUGGAGCCAAGCCUGUCUCAGAAGGACCGGUCCUGUCCAGCUCCUGGGAGACCACCGCUGAGGCCCUGGCAUUUUCUGCCUGCUAGAAUAAUUCCGGAUCCCAGGCGUCGCUGUUCCAUGUGUCCAGGUAGUUCAUGCUGGCAGUGUGACUUAGGGUGCGCAUCUUUUUGGUGUGUCUGAGGCCCCGGGCCCCCCUGUACUAGUUUGAUACCCGGAGGCUGUAGACGGACCGGGUGGCUAAAGUGCGUCCCAUGGAAGCUGCGUGCCUUCAAGUCCAGUCCCCAGGGAACUCUCUGGACCCCCAGGCAUGUGAGCUUCUCCGGCCAGCAGCACUUCGUGGGUGUUGCCCCACAUCGUUUCUGGGAGACUUGGGUAUCGUCUGAGUGUGCUGGGAGGGGAGAACGGGGGUCUUAGGCGGAUUCCCCUGCACUUCGCCCAGGUACCUGUCCCCUCUGCUGAAUCUGCUCUCACGGUCAAAAGUCACAGCCCCGUGUAGAACAGCCCCGAGGGACUCGCAGGACUCUGAGAAGGACCAACCACGGGUUUGAGUCCUGAGUCCUUCUAGGGGAUCAUCAAGCCUGGGGGUGAUCUUGGGGGCCCUCGAGGCACCGUGGCUACAGAUUCUCAGAUGGCUGCCCGGUCUAGAGUCUGUUUCAGCUGUCCCAAGGGGGUGGGCCUUGAGAACCCAGGGUGACUCUGUCCCCAGCGGGCAC